CAGCAGCCACGGUAAAACCGAGGGUGCAAGCGUUAAUCGGAAUUACUGGGCGUAAAGCGCGCGUAGGUGGUUUGUUAAGUUGGAUGUGAAAGCCCCGGGCUCAACCUGGGAACUGCAUCCAAAACUGGCAAGCUAGAGUACGGUAGAGGGUGGUGGAAUUUCCUGUGUAGCGGUGAAAUGCGUAGAUAUAGGAAGGAACACCAGUGGCGAAGGCGACCACCUGGACUGAUACUGACACUGAGGUGCGAAAGCGUGGGGAGCAAACAGGAUUAGAUACCCGGGUAGUCCCUGUCUCUUAUAC
rnacentral:rRNA from 1 species